rnacentral:rRNA from 1 species
AAUCAACGCUGGCGGCGUGCCUAACACAUGCAAGUCGAACGCGAAAGUGGAGCAAUCCAUGAGUAGAGUGGCAAACGGGUGAGUAACGCGUGGGCGACCUACCUCUGAGUGGGGGAUAACCUUCCGAAAGGAGGGCUAAUACCGCAUGACAUCCCGUGUUUAGAUACACGGACAUCAAAGUCGGGGAUCGCAAGACCUGGCGCUUGGAGAGGGGCCCGCGUCCGAUUAGCUAGUUGGUGAGGUAACGGCUCACCAAGGGCUCCGAUCGGU